AAUCCCGCGGCCGAUACCGGGCGCCGGGAAAUGUGGUGUUAGGGAGGAUCCGUUUAUCCCGAGGUCGUGCGGUGCGUCCAAGUCCUUCUUGAACGGGGCCACAGCCCAUAGAGGGUGCCAGGCCCGUAGCGACCGCUGCCGAUCGCGGGAGGAUCUCUCCUCAGAGUCGGGUUGCUUGAGAGUGCAGCCCUAAGUGGGUGGUAAACUCCAUCUAAGGCUAAAUAUGACCACGAGACCGAUAGCGAACAAGUACCGUGAGGGAAAGUUGAAAAGCACUUUGAAGAGAGAGUUCAAGAGUACGUGAAACCGUUCAGGGGUAAACCUGAGAACCCGAAAGGUCGAAAGGGGAAAUUCAUUCGCGUCUCGACAGUCGAAGCGGAGUGGUCGCGUGACGGACGGCGUACGCGUCGUCCGCGCCUUCGGUUUCGCCGAUCGACGUCGAACGCGUGCACUUUUCCCCUAGUAGGACGUCGCGAUCCGUUGAGCGUCGGUCUAAGGCCUCCGGUGGAGCCCGAACGUACGUCUUCGGACGUCUCGCGUUCGGACCCGGAGAGUCCCGGCCGACUCGCUCGACGGUAUACAGAUGGCGCGAGGCCGCUUCUUUUAGCGUCCGGCUCGCGGCAAGCGCGUUCGGUGUUAAGAUGGCGAUCGGACCUGGUGCCGGUCCCGUCCCCGGACGGCUGUUGGCCGCGGUGUUCUCGGACAGACCUCGUCGCGCGCGUCGGAUUCGUCCGACGUGCGUUUCGCCGAUCUGCGACGCUAUAGCUUUGGGUACUUUCAGGACCCGUCUUGAAACACGGACCAAGGAGUCUAGCAUGUGCGCGAGUCAUUGGGACAUAAUUAAACCUAAAGGCGUAAUGAAAGUGAAGGUUCGCCUCGCGCGAACCGAGGGAGGAUGGACGACGUCGGUACGCAAGUACGGCCGUUCCGCACUCCCGGGGCGUCUCGUUCUCAUCGCCAGAAGAGGCGCACCAAGAGCGUACACGCUGGGACCC
rnacentral:rRNA from 1 species